rnacentral:rRNA from 1 species
UACGUAGGGGGCAAGCGUUGUCCGGAUUUACUGGGCGUAAAGAGCGUGUAGGCGGUCCGGUAAGUCCGCUGUGAAAGUCGGGGGCUCAACCCUCGAAUGCCGGUGGAUACUGUCGGGCUAGAGUGCGGAAGAGGCGAGUGGAAUUCCUGGUGAUAGCGGUGAAAUGCGCAGAUAUCAGGAGGAACACCUAUUGCGAAGGCAGCUCGCUGGGACGUUACUGACGCUGAGACGCGAAAGCGUGGGGAGCAAACAGG